GGAGGUCUGGCUCAGUGGUAGAACGUCUGCUUGGCUUGCAGAAGGUCCCAGGUUCAAUCCCCAGCAUCUCAA
rnacentral:tRNA from 1 species